rnacentral:rRNA from 1 species
CGGGGUGAGUAAUGUCUGGGAAACUGCCUGAUGGAGGGGGAUAACUACUGGAAACGGUAGCUAAUACCGCAUAACGUCGCAAGACCAAAGAGGAGGACCUUCGGGCCUCUUGCCAUCGGAUGUGCCCAGAUGGGAUUAGCUAGUAGGUGGGGUAACGGCUCACCUAGGCGACGAUCCCUAGCUGGUCUGAGAGGAUGCCAGCCACACUGGAACUGAGACACGGUCCAG